ACAAUAAGUCACAAUAUUUUACAUUUGACACCCACCCAACCUAAUUCAAUCUGUAGUGAGAAAAGUUUAAAAAGAACUCUAUAUCUGUAGUCCAACAUAUUCAGAUUACUAGGUGCUGCUCUACUGUCAGGAGUGGCUGGCCUGGCCUUGAGGCAGCAGGAAUGAGAUUCUAAGCCUAUCUUUAAGUAAGGACCGUCAUCAUGGGCAAUGAAGGUUGCUGGUGUACCAGAAAGAACACUGGGAAUCCGAGCUCAGUGAGUUUAACCAAGACGUGCAAUAAGGAAGCAGAGUGGUG